ACCACAACCACACACAACAACAAAGGUAUUGAAGAAUAAAAGUUUCAUUUUUAUCUAUUUUUUCCCUUUUUUGUCUAAUUUUUUGUGGUCUAAUUUUUGGGAUAAACUAACGGCGGUGCUGAAGGUUACGCGUUUUGUCCAUGCAAUGGUUGCAACAAUAGGACUCGAGGUUACUACUAUGUUUUUUUUCCGUUUUUUUAAAAGACUCGAGGUUACUGCUCUGCUCUUUUUUGUUUUUUAAAAGAAAAUUAUCUCUUGUUAUUUUUGCUACGAGAGUUGUUGCUGAUUUCUUAUUGUUUCCCUUAUGUUCUUUUUCGUUGUUUUUUUUAUAAAAAAAAAUGAUCUUCUAUCAUUUUUGCUACAAGAAUUGUUGUUGAUUUAUUGCAACAAUAUGAUUACCAGGGUGGUGUUGAAGAAUAAAGGUCCCAUUUUUAUCUAUUUUUUUCCCAUUUUUUUUGUCUAAUUUUUUGUGGUAUGAUUUUGACUUUAUGUGUUUUUGUGGAGGAUUUAGGGAAGUGAGAAAGGAAAAGGGUGGCUUCAGAAUCUUCACUAUGGUGUGUUUGGCCUUGGAAAUAGGCAGUAUGAGCAUUUUUACAAGGUCUGCAUUGGAUUCUUACAAGGUUUCGAUUUGAUUUUAAUCAUGGAGUUGUUGGUUGUUGUGGCAAUUGAUGCAGGUGAUAAAGCUUGCUUACCCGGGAGAGACUACUUGAACUUUUCUAUGCUAUGUAUGAAAAAGAUGCCAAAAAGGGUGGCCCUCUUGACUCUCUAAGGUUGCUGGUGAGGCUAUCAAUGGAUUAACCCCUCGGAGGGCCGACACUUUUGAGAAGAUUGAUAAGGAAACUUGACACUUCGGUAGAGAAAUUGGUGGUGAAUUUUGAAGGGGGGUGGAACCCUGAAUGGUAAACUAUUGCAGAAAAUUAAUUGAAUUUUGCAGUGGGAAGACUCUGAGUGAAUUGUGCCACAACAUAGAAGGAAAUAUCAACGUUGGCUCAUUUAGCAGGUUGAUAUAUGACAUGAUGCUUGCGUGGGAGAGACCUAGCUACUACGAUGAAGAAGAUACCACGGUCAGAAAAUAAUAUUGUGGAUCCGCUUACAAAAGGGUUGACGCGUCAACAAGUGCUUGAGUCGUCGAGGGGAAUGGGAUUAAAGCCCAUUAUUUAGUUACCACAAUGGACACCCGUCUCCGAGUGAUUGGUGAUCCCAUGAAUGGAGUUCAACGGGUAACAACGAAAUUGUUUGUUGACUAAAGUACACCAAAAUAAAAUUUGACGGAGCUGUUCCAUUUCUCAUUCCUAUGACGAGGUGUAUUAUAAAUU